AUUGAACGCUGGCGGCAUGCUUUACACAUGCGAGUCGAACGGUAACAGGCCGCAAGGUGCUGACGAGUGGCGAACGGGUGAGUAAUGCAUCGGAACGUGCCCAGUCGUGGGGGAUAACUACUCGAAAGAGUAGCUAAUACCGCAUACGAUCUAUGGAUGAAAGCGGGGGACCGUAAGGCCUCGCGCGAUUGGAGCGGCCGAUGUCAGAUUAGGUAGUUGGUGGGGUAAAGGCUCACCAAGCCAACGAUCUGUAGCUGGUCUGAGAGGACGACCAGCCACACUGGGACUGAGACACGGCCCAGACUCCUACGGGAGGCAGCAGUGGGGAAUUUUGGACAAUGGGCGCAAGCCUGAUCCAGCAAUGCCGCGUGCAGGAAGAAGGCCUUCGGGUUGUAAACUGCUUUUGUACGGAACGAAACGGCUCUGGUUAAUACCCGGGGCUAAUGACGGUACCGUAAGAAUAAGCACCGGCUAACUAUGUG
rnacentral:rRNA from 1 species